rnacentral:rRNA from 1 species
UCGCCCUACGGGAGGCAGCAGUGAGGAAUAUUGGUCAAUGGGCGGGAGCCUGAACCAGCCAAGCCGCGUGAGGGAAGAAGGUACAGCGUAUCGUAAACCUCUUUUGUCAGGGAACAAAGGCGGGGACUAGUCCCCGGAUGAGGGUACCUGAAGAAAAAGCAUCGGCUAACUCCGUGCCAGCAGCCGCGGUAAUACGGAGGAUGCGAGCGUUAUCCGGAUUUAUUGGGUUUAAAGGGUGCGUAGGCGGUCCGUUAAGUCAGCGGUAAAAUUGCGGGGCUCAACCCCGUCGAGCCGUUGAAACUGGC